GACGAACGCUGGCGGCGUGCCUAAUACAUGCAAGUAGAACGCUGAAGGAGGAGCUUGCUUCUCUGGAUGAGUUGCGAACGGGUGAGUAACGCGUAGGUAACCUGCCUGGUAGCGGGGGAUAACUAUUGGAAACGAUAGCUAAUACCGCAUAAGAGUAGAUGUCGCAUGACAUUUGCUUAAAAGGUGCAAUUGCAUCACUACCAGAUGGACCUGCGUUGUAUUAGCUAGUUGGUGAGGUAACGGCUCACCAAGGCAACGAUACAUAGCCGACCUGAGAGGGGUAUCGGGCCAACCUAGACUGAGACACGGCCCAGACUCCUACGGGAGGCAGCAGUAGGGAAUCUUCGGCAAUGGACGGAAGUCUGACCGAGCAACGCCGCGUGAGUGAAGAAGGUUUUCGGAUCGUAAAGCUCUGUUGUAAGAGAAGAACGAGUGUGAGAGUGGAAAGUUCACACUGUGACGGUAUCUUACCAGAAAGGGACGGCUAACUACGUG
rnacentral:rRNA from 1 species